GAUGAACGCUGGCGGUAUGCCUAACACAUGCAAGUCGUACGAGAGUUUUUAACUCUAGUGGCGGACGGGUGAGUAACACGUGAGAAUUUGCCUUUAGGAGGGGGAUAACAAUCGGAAACGAAUGCUAAUACCGGAUGAUGUCUUCGGACCAAAGAUUUAUCGCCUUUAGAUGGGCCCGCGUUGGAUUAGCUAGUUGGUGGGGUAAAGGCCUACCAAGGCGACGAUCCAUAGCUGGUCUGAGAGGAUGAUCAGCCACACUGGGACUGAGACACGGCCCAGACUCCUACGGGAGGCAGCAGUGGGGAAUAUUGGACAAUGGGCGAAAGCCUGAUCCAGCAAUGCCGCGUGAGUGAUGAAGGCCUUAGGGUUGUAAAGCUCUUUUACCCGAGAUGAUAAUGACAGUAUCGGGAGAAUAAGCUCCGGCUAACUCCGUG
rnacentral:rRNA from 1 species